GCCUGGGUAGCUCAGUGGUAGAGCAGCGCACUCGUGAUGCGCAGGCCGUGGGGUCAAUCCCCACACCAGGCU
rnacentral:tRNA from 1 species